rnacentral:lncRNA from 1 species
GUCACCCGUCACCUUGGACAGCAAUACCCUCCUAUACGUGUGCCCACUCCUGUGCUGCAGGACACAAAGCGAAUGACACCAAGGAGCAAAGCAGAGAUCACACGGAGAAAGCGAGAUGGUAGCCGAGAAACGUCCUCCAUCUGGUACCCAGGCUCUGUGAAGGACGGACCAGAGCACUGUAAGAAAGAAGAAAGGCGGAAGGUGAAAAUGCAUGUUUGAUGGGGGCUAGAGAGAUGGCUCAGAGGUUAAGAGCACCAACUGCUCUUCCCGAGGUCCUGAGUUCAAAUCCCAGCAACCACAUGGUGGCUCACAACCAUCUGUAAUGAGAUCUGAUGCCCUCUUCUGGUGUGUCUGAAGACAGCUACAGUG